AUUGAACGCUGGCGGCAUGCCUUACACAUGCAAGUCGAACGGCAGCACGGGGGCAACCCUGGUGGCGAGUGGCGAACGGGUGAGUAAUACAUCGGAACGUGCCCAGUUGUGGGGGAUAGCCCGGCGAAAGCCGGAUUAAUACCGCAUACGACCUACGGGUGAAAGCAGGGGAUCUUCGGACCUUGCGUUAUACGAGCAGC
rnacentral:rRNA from 1 species